UGUUAAAAUGUCAAAGGUCAACUAUGCUGUGCCAGAUAUGACCAAGAAGGUCAAGUUUGACAGAGAGCCUGAUAGAUCAGGGAAGAGACCCUUCCUAGUUGCUGCAGUGUUUCUGGGGCUGCUGUGUGUUCUACUGGCUGGGAUCAUAGGCCUGUCUGUCUACUAGCAGCAUUUUCAAAAGGGAUGGAGAAACUUUGACUACAGUUGUACUUCCUCUAUACUAAGAAAACCUGGGAAGAGAGAGAAGCAGUCCUGGUGAUCAUAAACAGCAGAGAGGAAUAGGU